CAAUGGAACCAGCAACAGACUGUGUGUCUAACCAGGUGAUCAGCAGUACCACAGGGCCCUGUACUCUCACCAUUUCUUUUCACUCUACACUUCAGAUGUCCAGCACAAGUCUCACUUCUGUCAUCUGCAGAAAUAUUCAGAUGACUCUGCAGUUGUUGGUUGAAUCCGA